GUGAGUGGAGGUUCCGGUGUGCGUGGUGUCCUAGUGUCCCGAUUCCAGGAGGUCCGAACCGUGCCGAUUCCCAAAUAAACGGGCAGGGCACGCAUCGUCAUCCUCAGCGAAAAUAAGGGAAUUCAGAAAUAAAUCCGAAAGCCCCGUGAUUUCGUGGACUCACUGCCACGUGCUGAAUUUUAUUACGGAAGAUUGUGUGUGGUUGAGCAGUGCUCGGUGGCGAGCCUCUGCACUGUCUGCUGUUGCUGUCUAUUGUUGCUGUCUGUUGUUGCUGACGUUGCCUCCAUAGCAGGAGGUGUUUGGCACCGGCUGUCCCGCAGUGCCAGACGCUUGCUGCGCCCGACGGGUGCGAAGGGGGUUGAGCCGAGUGGUGAUAUUAGCGCGCUGAUCUUAGUCUAGUAUUUUUAGUCAGUACCAACCAAACGGCCCAACGACCCAUCCCUUAUUUUUUUCUUUUUAAAUAUUUGUGUCAACCACAAUAAAUAGUUAUCAAUUUAAAAAAA